rnacentral:rRNA from 1 species
GUCUAUGGCCAUGCUACCCUGAACAAGCCCAAUCUCAUAUGAUAUUCGAAGGUAAGCAAGGUCGGGCCUGGUUAGUACUGGGAUGGGAGACCACCUAGGAAGACCAGGUGCUGUAGGCG